rnacentral:misc_RNA from 1 species
UUAACAACCUUAAAUCAAAUCUUUAUUUAAAUUAAAGAAAAUAAUACACAAUAUGAGUACCGUAAAAACAAAAUAAUUCUAAGACGGGAAACGUUUUCGCGUAGAGACUGCAACAGAGAUCGUAGUUACUCCUUCGAAGGAGGAUAGAGAGUAAGAUGAUGCGGGUGAUGAUGACGUCAAAGAUGGAAGUGAUGCUGCAGGUGAAGAUGGCAGUGAUGAGGAUGAGAUGGAAACGGAUGGCAAGUUCGGUGGAAACAAACAAUGACGAGAAUAUCAUGUCAUCUCCUGAUAAGUCAAACUAGUUUAGCGAACACUUGAGUUUGAUUACUUGGCUUAUACAAUGAUCAAUAGGAAAUUGUUCACAAUAACAAACAUUUUUUAAACGAUACUCAGGAUAUACAUCUAUCCAAUCUAUAAAUGCCGCUUUAAUAAAAAAACAUGAUAAAUUCUAUCGAAAAUCAUGAUAGAAUUCAUAUAUUAAAAAACUUUCCGUUGGUAUUUGGUUGAAUAUAAAUUCCCAAAAAGUAAAACCUUCGUACCUUUGAGAAGCUGAAAAAUAGUGAAACCUCAUACCCAUGUAAUCUGCGAAACUGCCUCUCCUCAUUUCAAUCACCUGGUAAUGACCAUCAAUACUACAAUCUUCUACAAGACUGGUAUAAGAGAAACAACUAAAUUUCUUGAUUAAAAUUAGGGAUUCAGUCAUGGUAAUCGGAACAUGUGACUAAAGCUUCUCCUCCUAACACAUAAUCAAAGACCAGAAAUGUCCUAAUGGGUGUAGUGCAUUAAAAUCCAAGAUAGCUACAGAAGUACAAGACAUGCAGAUGAACAACUUGCUUUUGUAAGUUUCAAGCACUUGCUCUGCCAGAGUCUUGUGA